rnacentral:rRNA from 1 species
GACGAACGCUGGCGGCGUGCCUAAUACAUGCAAGUAGAACGCUGAAGGAGGAGCUUGCUUCUCUGGAUGAGUUGCGAACGGGUGAGUAACGCGUAGGUAACCUGCCUGGUAGCGGGGGAUAACUAUUGGAAACGAUAGCUAAUACCGCAUAAUAUUGACUAUUGCAUGAUAGUCAGUUGAAAGGUGCAACUGCACCACUACCAGAUGGACCUGCGUUGUAUUAGCUAGUUGGUGGGGUAACGGCUCAUCAAGGCGACGAUACAUAGCCGACCUGAGAGGGUGAUCGGCCACACUGGGACUGAGACACGGCCCAGACUCCUACGGGAGGCAGCAGUAGGGAAUCUUCGGCAAUGGACGGAAGUCUGACCGAGCAACGCCGCGUGAGUGAAGAAGGGUUUCGGAUCGUAAAGCUCUGUUGUAAGAGAAGAACGAGUGUGAGAGUGGAAAGCUCACACUGUGACGGUAGCUUACCAGAAAGGGACGGCUAACUACGUG